rnacentral:rRNA from 1 species
UACGAAGGGGGCUAGCGUUGUUCGGAAUUACUGGGCGUAAAGGGCGCGUAGGCGGCUCUGAUCGUCGGAUAUGAAAGGCCUGGGCUCAACCUCGGAAUUGCCUUCAAUACUGGCUGUCUUGAGUAUGGGAGAGGUGGUGUGGAACUCCGAGUGUAGAGGUGAAAUUCGUAGAUAUUCGGAAGAACACCAGUGGCGAAGGCGGCUCACUGGUCCGGUACUGACGCUGAGGUGCGAAAGCGUGG